AGUGUACAACUUUCAGAAGAAAGACACCAGUAACCCUGAACAUCCCUUAAUUCUACACUUCUGUCAUGCAUUAUGGAAGAAUGAAAGAGAGACACCAUCAUUACUGUUCCUGACCCACUCAGUGCUGAGUGGACAGAGAGAGGAGAUCAAAACUGACACUGAGAAGAUCAACAGGCUCCAUCGGUGUAGAACAGCAUCUCUAUCUUAGCCACAGCCUUCCUCAGCCCAGUGCCCAGAUGGUCGCCUACCCCAGCAAGCAGGAACCCAAACAAGGGGAUUCCCAUCAGGGCAUAGCAGAUACAGAACAACCUGCCCCAUUCUGUCUGUGGAGAGAUAUUCCCGUAACCUGGAGGCCACAUAGAAACGUAGUGUGAUUUGAGGAUCAGAUAUUUAUAGAGAACUUGCGGGGUGAACAAUCCACAGAAUGCAGAGGCAGGCCAUGUCCCUGAGGUUAAAAUGGAGCUGGGCUCAUCCAGCAAUGUGAGAAUGCCAUACCGAUGGUAGUGAUGAUGGUGCCGGAGAAGAAGAAAGCGCUGGCCAGGUCCCAGCUGCUGCUGAAUGUGCUGUUGUUGUUUGUGGGAUCAACCCCUCCCUGAAUGGCUUCUGUAAUG